CAGCGAAGAGGUAGCAAUACCUUUGUCGGCGACCGGCGCACGGGUGAGUAACACGUAUGCAAUCCACCUGUAACAGGGGGAUAACCCGGAGAAAUCCGGACUAAUACCCCAUAAUAUGGACGCUCCGCAUGGAGGGUCCAUUAAAGAGAGCAAUUUUGGUUACAGACGAGCAUGCGCUCCAUUAGCCAGUUGGCGGGGUAACGGCCCACCAAGGCGACGAUUGGUAGCCGGACUGAGAGGUUGAACGGCCACAUUGGGACUGAGACACGGCCCAGACUCC
rnacentral:rRNA from 1 species